AAAAUGGUGAGAGGGUUAAGGGGAGUUCCCGACGGAGAUGCGAGGACCCCUCGGGGUCUGACCCACA
ensembl:miRNA MIR611 microRNA 611